rnacentral:rRNA from 1 species
ACCUGACGCAGCGACGCCGCGUGAGGGAUGAAGGCCUUCGGGUUGUAACCUCUGUCAGGGGGGAAGAAUCCGGAGUCGGUGAAUACCCGACUCCACUGACGGUACCCCCAGAGGAAGCACCGGCUAACUCCGUGCCAGCAGGCCGCGGUAAGACGGAGGGUGCAAACGUUGUUCGGAAUCACUGGGCGUAAAGGGCGCGUAGGCGGACUUGUAAGUCGGGAGUGAAAACUCGGGGCUCAACCCCGAGCCUGCUUCUGAAACUGCGAGUCUUGAGGACCGGAGAGGAAAGUGGAAUUCCUAGUGUAGCGGUGGAAUGCGUAGAUAUUAGGAAGAACACCAGUGGCGAAGGCGACUUUCUGGACGGUUCCUGACGCUGAGGCGCGAAAGCUAGGGGAGCAAACAGGAUUAGAUACCCUGGUAGUCCUAGCCGUAAACGAUGAGUGCUAGGUGGUGGUAGUUUCAACACUUUCACCGCCGCAGCCAACGCAUUAAGCACUCCGCCUGGGGAGUACGGCCGCAAGGUUG